AUUGACCGCUGGCGGCAAGCCUAAUACAUGCAAGUCGAACGAGUGGCGGACGGGUGAGUAAUGUCUGGGAAACUGCCUGAUGGAGGGGGAUAACUACUGGAAACGGUAGCUAAUACCGCAUACCAUCGGAUGUGCCCAGAUGGGAUUAGCUAGUAGGUGGGGUAAAGGCUCACCUAGGCGACGAUCCCUAGCUGGUCUGAGAGGAUGACCAGACACACUGGAACUGAGACACGGUCUAGACUGCUAAGGGAGGCAGCAGUGAGGAAUAUGGUACAAUGGGCGCAAGCCUGAUGCAGCCAUGCCGCGUGUAUGACGAAGGCCUUCGGGUUGUAAAGUACUUUCAGCGGGGAGGCGUUACCAGCAGAAGAAGCACCGGCUAACUCCGUGCCAGCAGCCGCGGUAAUAC
rnacentral:rRNA from 1 species